AACGAACGCUGGCGGCAUGCCUAACACAUGCAAGUCGAACGAGACCUUCGGGUCUAGUGGCGCACGGGUGCGUAACGCGUGGGAACCUGCCUUUAGGUUCGGAAUAACUCCCCGAAAGGGGUGCUAAUACCGGAUAAUGUCUUCGGACCAAAGAUUUAUCGCCUUUGGAUGGGCCCGCGUUGGAUUAGCUAGUUGGUAGGGUAAAAGCCUACCAAGGCGACGAUCCAUAGCUGGUCUGAGAGGAUGAUCAGCCACACUGGGACUGAGACACGGCCCAGACUCCUACGGGAGGCAGCAGUGGGGAAUAUUGGACAAUGGGCGAAAGCCUGAUCCAGCAAUGCCGCGUGAGUGAUGAAGGCCUUAGGGUUGUAAAGCUCUUUUACCCGGGAUGAUAAUGACAGUACCGGGAGAAUAAGCUCCGGCUAACUCCGUG
rnacentral:rRNA from 1 species